CUCUCUCUGGACUCCUUGGCUCAGAGCAGCAUAUCUCCAUCAUUGGCAUUCACCAUCACUAUGAAGGGCUUCACUGCUUUUGCCAUCCUUGGUCUAGCAGUCACUGCUUGGGCUACCUCGCCAUAUGGCAAGUCAGGGUUUCUUUCCAAUAGUCACGCGUUUAUGUUAACUGUAAUAUAUUCAGCCUUCAUUAAAUUAUAAAUGUUAAUGUCUAAAGAAAAUUUAGAAGGCAUCUGUUUGAAUUGGCCUGAUUAACAAAAGUGAGUUGAGUCAGAUCUUUAGUGUGAGGAAGAGAGACUGAGGAGAGGGAUAAAAGGAUUGUGGCUGUAUGUUCCAUUCCUGAGCAGGAUCCCUCAGGUUUAUGACUUGCCCUUUCAGAAACAACCUAUAAAGCUUUGGGACCAUAACCCAUGCCAUCCUACUCAGAGGAUGCCCACAGGAACUCCUGGACAUCUGUGACAGUCCUUUCUCAAUAAACAGAGCUUUCCCCACUGGAUUUUUUUUUUUUUUUAAAUCAGAGCCACAUGCAUGUCUAUCUUCAUCCUGAGUUUGGACUUGCAUGAAGAAAUGGCCUCUUUUAGGGCUGGGCUGGGCAAGGACUAUUGCUGGGAAAUGGGUUUUGGUUACCAUGAACAAUGGGGAUUUAGCUUUGCACUUCUAACUGUGCAAUUUGUUCUUUCUCCAACUGCUCCUCUUCAACUGAUUCUUGCUUCGCUCUCUUCUGGUGAUCAAACAAAAGGGACAAAGGUGAGUGCAACCUUCUCUGUGUGGUAUUUGUA
rnacentral:lncRNA from 1 species